CUACGGGAUGCUGCAGUGAGGAAUAUUGCACAAUGGGGGGAACCCUGAUGCAGCAACGCCGCGUGGAGGAUGACGCAUUUCGGUGUGUAAACUCCUUUUAUAUGUCAAGAAAAUGACGGUAGCAUAUGAAUAAGCGCCGGCUAACUCCGUGCCAGCAGCCGCGGUAAUACGGAGGCGCAAGCGUUACUCGGAAUCACUGGGCGUAAAGGACGCGUAGGCGGGUUGAAAAGUCAGGUGUGAAAGCCUACAGCUUAACUGUAGAACUGCACUUGAAACUCUCAAUCUAGAGUAUGGGAGGGGCAGAUGGAAUUAGUGGUGUAGGGGUAAAAUCCGUAGAUAUCACUAGGAAUACCUAAAGCGAAGGCGAUCUGCUGGAACAUUACUGACGCUAAGGCGUGAAAGCGUGGGGAGCAAACAGGAUUAGAUACCCGUGUAGUC
rnacentral:rRNA from 1 species